rnacentral:ncRNA from 2 species
CGUAGGUGAACCUGCGGAAGGAUCAUGA